ACCCCAAAAAAUUUACAUGUCGUCACACCUGGGUCAAAAUGGCCACUUACAAAACUUUUUUUGACAACAAAAAUAACGUUACAGGAAACGCUGUGCCGAAUGGCACACGGGACACUCAUACCAGAGAAGUGAAAAGGAGCAGCGGACUGUGUAACUCUCUCAUCAACAGGGCACCCGACACACUAAUACAUGCCCAUGAAUGAGUUGAAAAAGUCGGCCAUGGUUAAACACAAUGAGCGCGAGUUUCAAAAACACCUUAAUUUUUGUGCCAAAUGGCAUACGGUUUCCAUUCUAGGGUUAAUGGCUAGAACCGACCCUGGGGAAGUGAUGAAGUGAACGCCUUUACGCACACUCUCUCUCUCUCUCUCUCUCUCUCUCUCUCUCUCUCUCUCUCUCUCUCUCUCUCAUUAGGUAAUUAAAGAAAGGAAAGUGCAGGAAAUAAGAGGAAAAGUAUACAUGACAAUGGAGAGCUACAAUAAUAUAAAAGAAACUUGCAAUAAAUAAUAAUAGUAGGCUAGUAGUAGGGAUAAUAGUAGUAGUAGUAGUAGUAGUAGUAGUAGUAGUAGUAGUAGUAGUAGUAGUAGUAGUAGUAGUAGUAGUAGUAGUAGUAGUAGUAGAAGUAGUAGUAGUAGUAGUAGUUGUAGUAGUAGUAGUAGUGCACCUCCUAACCUACUUAUAUUCCUUCCGUUGGGCACUACCAGGAAAUACUUGGUCUAAACGUGAGAAGUAGACUUUUUUUCCUUAUUUGCAAGCAUAACGGGUUUCUUUCUUGUCGGGUCUCCGUUUUCCCCGCAAGCGCUUUCACUGCUUUUUGUCACUCGACAGGGACUUUAACAUCAACCUUAAAUAUAAUCAACGCCUCUUAUUUUGCGCUCUCGUCCUCACUCAACCAAGAAAAACCCAAUUAGGUGUCACACAAAACAAGAAACACACGAAACACAUAUGAAAACAGAUAUAUGGUGAUUUGUUUUGCUCUUUCUUCCUCACUCAACCAAGAAAAACCCAACUUAAGUGUAACACAAAACAAGAAACACACGAAACACAUACGAAAAACAAAUAUAGAGUGAUUUUUUGGCUUCUCUUCCUGACUCAACCAAGAAAAACAACUUAGGUGUCACACAAAACAAGAAACACAGGAAACACAAACGAAAAACCAACAUUAACUGCAUUUGAAACCAUCCACAGACCAGGAGGGACAUCAGAUCACAGUUACUUGUAUAUCCUGUUUGUCCGGAAAGGUUAUAUAUUUUUGCGCGGUGCAGAAAGGCGCUCAGGUGUAUUCGCUGUGGAGUGGCGAGCAGGAAGAAAGGCCCGGACGCAGCUUUCUCCCGGUUGUGACGCCCUAGUGACGCUGAGAGGGAAGGGAAGGAGGGGACGGAAGGUGACAGAAGGAAGGACUGGGUGUGUAGUCUGUCUUCCUCUCCUCCGUCACCUACUAACAUCACAUACAUCCCCAGAAAACACUCUCAAACAUCAUUACCCGUUCUUGACAUGUUCUCGAGAUGUUACGUACGGUUGGGUUAUGCAAGGUAACAUCGGGUUUCCAAGUCCGUCUUCCAUUCAUGAGUCAUGCAACGUCACAGGCACAGCGAACACACAUAGCUACAUACCUAGAAAACGUAAACAAAACAUCAUUACCCGUUCUUGACGUAGUAGCCCGAGAUGUUUUGGGUCUAACCUCCAUCAAGUCACCUACUAACAACACAUAACUCACAUAACAUCCCCAGAAAACACACCAAAAACAUCAUUACCAGUUCUUGCCGUGUAGUUUGAGAUGUUCCGGUUGGUGUGACGCAAGGAAGGUGAGGCGGUGAGGCAGGUGGCAGGCAGGUGGUUGGCUCGCUGGCUGGAGGAGGAGGGACCGAGAGGGGUAAGGGGGCGGGCGGUGUUGAGACGGGUGAGAGCAGCGAAGAGAAGGCGGUGGUGGUGGUGUGUGUGCGUCUCUAGGAUGACGAUGACCACCGGACUGACCUGACACAUGACAAUGGACCUUAACUUGACCCCAGCACCAGGAACAGAUGACCCUUGGCACCUGGCCCUCUAACACUGACCCUGCGGCACCAUGCUUCCUCGCUGGAUGACUCUGGCAGCCUGGGUGACCCUACUGCUACUGGUCAACCCAAGCGAUUCCUUCUUCCUUGGGGUUGGAGUUGAUACGAGCGUAGAGGAGGCAGAUGGGUAUGAGAUUCUGAACCCCCUCGACAGCUGGUUUCUCGGGGGUGCCACCAGCAUCGUCUACAACGCCCUAACCUUCAACGUCUUCGGGAUAAAGGAGAAGAUAAGGAAAAUAUACGAGGUAGUUGCCUCGUACGCGAUUUUCGAAGGCCUCGGACUCAUCACGACGGUCAUAGUCAACGUCGUCGCUGCUGUGGCCGUCGCUGUCGCGGAAAUCCUCACCAUCAUCAUCUCGAACAUCAUAGAAACGGGAUACAGGAAGAAGCUGGCAGUGGUUGAGUUCCUGUUCAGGGUGGUAACGGGAAGGAGCCUGGAGGGCGUGGUGGAGCUUGCCCGAGGCCUUGGCGGAAUGGACAACCCAAUGAGUGUUUCGAUAGCAGGUUAAAACUCAGGAUAUGUGUGUAUGAGGCCCAUAAACCAUGUACUGAUGUGUCUGUAGGGAAUGUUAGUAGGUUGUUCUUUGCUAGGCUACAGCUUGCCCGAGGCCUAAGUGAAAUGGACGACCCAAUAAGUGUUUCGAUAUCGGGUUAAAGUUCUGGACAUGUCUGUGUACGAGGCCCUUCAACCAUGUACUGAUGUGAGUAUAGGGAGUGUUCUUUGCUAGGCUACAGCUUGCCCAGGGCCUAAGUGAAAUGGACGACCCAAUAAGUGUUUUGAUAUCGGGUUAAAGUUCUGGAUAUGUCUGUGUACGAGGCCCUUUAACCAUGUACUGAUGUAGGUAUAGGGAGUGUUCUUUGCUAGGCUACAGCUUCCCCAGGGCCUUUGCAAGUUUAACUACCCAAUCAGUGCCUCAAGACUAUGAUAAACCAGCUUUUGAGUGCGUCUGUUAUUUGUAUAUUCAGUAUAGAAUGUACAAGACACUUCAACCAUGUGCUGAUGUGAAAGAAGGGAGUGUUAGGAGUUACCAACCUUCUUUAUUAUCAGUGUUUUGAGUCCAGGUUAAGAUUUUGAAUGUGCCUGUGUCAUAUUCAGAAUAGGACUUAACCAACCAUGUGUUGAUGUGAGUGUAGGAAGUGUUAUAGGAGUUACUGACCUUCCUUAUUAUCAGUGUUUUGAGUCCAGGUUAAGAUUCUGAAUGUGCCUGUGUCAUAUUCAGAAUAGGACUUAACCAGCCAUGUGCUGAUGUGAGAGAAGGGAGUGUUAGUAGUUGCUGUUGUUCUUUGCUGGGCUACAACUUUGUGCCAUAAUAGUCGGAGUUUAGGUUCGACAUCGCAGGAUUUUUUUUAACACUUCAAGACUGGAUCAAUUUUGUCCUGAGUGAGAAUUGCACUGUUUUUGAGGUCAGUAAGAUAGGCACAUUACAAUAAGGGGAGAUCCUGUGCCCUGCGUUCACCACAAUACCUCAGAGCCAUUCAUAGGGACUCAAGGUAUGCGACAGGCACACAUUCAAUUACCCUGUACAGUCUUGCCAAAGCUUGCCAUGUAUAUAUAUAUCUGUGGUUUAGUCCUUCAGCAGUCUUAUAGAUGUGACCAGGUUCUCUUAGUGACCUUGUAUGAACCUGUAUUUAUUUAAUGUUUUCUCAUGUCUUGCCCAACCUUGCCACAUACUUGCCCAUGUAUAUAUAUGUGGUUGAGUCCUUGGCAGCCUUAUACAUGCCACCAGGUUCCCUUAGUGACCUUGAAUGAACCUGUAUUUAUAGUUUAUUUUUCUCAUGUGUAAGAAUAAAGCUUUCUACGUGACAGCAGGUAUAAUUCUUGUCUCUUCUUGAUGUGUAACAAAAUCACGUCUUAAUUCAAACUACUACCAUGUGUUGUUUACGUAUUCCCCCUUGCAGUACGAACGUGAGGUAAUCCUAGGCUUGAAAAAAUAGUUAGUCUCCUUAACCCCUUGACUGCAGAUUUCCUACAGUCAGACUUAACCAAGCUACAGGAAUGGAACAAGAAGUGGCUGCUACAAUGCAAUGAAGAAAAAUGUAAAGUCCUGCACCUUGGGAGGGGAAAUCCAGCACAUCAAUACCAUAUGGGAAACACUCCACUAUCCACCACAGAGGCAGAGAAAGACAUGGGAGUAUAUGUUACCAGGCUACCAGUGAUGGCAAAAUCCGUGCCAAUCACAAUGGACAGGUUACGGACAGACCACCACCUAGGCUGUACCAUAGGGUCUGUGUGGUCUGGAUAUCUGUGUAAAUCUAAGUAAAAAUCACAAAUAUGUAUUAAAUCUGAGCUUCAGAGAAUAGUUUGUGUCUGUAAAAUGCAUUGCUGUGUAUGAAAAAGACUUUAAUUCAGUAGGAAAUAUUAGUACAAAUAGCUUCCAUGAUAUACAGAAACACUAAUCUCUCCUAAUGUAAAUAAAUGCACAACUCAAACAUUAAUAAUAUAUACUUUGCAGUGACAAUAAUAACAUUUCUUAAAGAUCAUAAUAACAUCCAAUGACACUUCACAAUCCACUUCUGACAAUGGAAGUAAUGAGAUAUUGACCCCUACUAAUAUUGUGUCUAAUCUUGCCCUUCACAUCCCCUCUAUAAGCUUCUGUACCCAUGGCUUGUUUUAGUGGAAGAACACGAGGGUCACAUUCUGAAACACACACGAACGCUUCACUCUUGACAAAGGAAGUAAUGAGAUAUCGCCACCUACUAAUUUGUGU